rnacentral:rRNA from 1 species
AGGAUGAACGCUGGCGGCGUGCUUAACACAUGCAAGUCGAACGGUGAAAGAGGAGCUUGCUCCUCUGGAUCAGUGGCGAACGGGUGAGUAACACGUGAGUAACCUGCCCUUGACUCUGGGAUAAGCGUUGGAAACGACGUCUAAUACCGGAUACGACCUCCGAAGGCAUCUUCUGGAGGUGGAAAGAAUUUCGGUCAAGGAUGGACUCGCGGCCUAUCAGCUAGUUGGUGAGGUAAUGGCCCACCAAGGCGACGACGGGUAGCCGGCCUGAGAGGGUGACCGGCCACACUGGGACUGAGACACGGCCCAGACUCCUACGGGAGGCAGCAGUGGGGAAUAUUGCACAAUGGGCGCAAGCCUGAUGCAGCAACGCCGCGUGGAGGAUGAAGCCCCUUGGGGCGUAAACUCCUUUCGAUCGGGAAGAUAAUGACGGUACCGGAAGAAGAAGCCCGGCUAACUUCGUGCCAGCAGCCGCGGUAA